rnacentral:lncRNA from 10 species
UUGAGACCCAGCGUCUCUAGAUCUCGUAUUUGAAUUUGUGGCGCUUGGUGUCCGCGAGUUGCCGAAUGAAGCUGAGCGUCUCAGUGGAACCAGGGAUCUCAGGGAGGGGAAGGUAUAAAAUUUUCAAAUGGAGGAGUAUACCUGAACCUAAUCAUGGAUGUGAUUUUAUGUAAGUAAUAUGUGAGCAAUCAUCAACAGAGAAGCUUUCUGCAACCAAAGUGAAGACUGAAGCCUUAGGCUAUGGCAGAAGUUGGGCGCCUGAAGUACACGUGGAAAUAUGCCAACUGAACAUUGGACUACCACGUCAAGGGUCUCCUACCCCUGGGCCAUGGAUCAAUACCAGUCUGUGACCUGUUAGGAACCGGUAGCAGGAGGGUCUUACUCUGCUGCCCAGGUUGGACUGCGG